UACGUAGGGUGCGAGCGUUAAUCGGAAUUACUGGGCGUAAAGCGUGCGCAGGCGGUUUCGUAAGACAGACGUGAAAUCCCCGGGCUCAACCUGGGAACUGCGUUUGUGACUGCGAGGCUAGAGUACGGCAGAGGGGGGUAGAAUUCCACGUGUAGCAGUGAAAUGCGUAGAGAUGUGGAGGAAUACCGAUGGCGAAGGCAGCCCCCUGGGUUAGUACUGACGCUCAUGCACGAAAGCGUGGGGAGCAAACAGGAUUAGAUACCCUGGUAGUCCACGCCCUAAACGAUGUCAACUAGGUGUUGGAAGGGUUAAACCUUUUAGUACCGCAGCUAACGCGUGAAGUUGACCGCCUGGGGAGUACGGCCGCAAGGUUAAA
rnacentral:rRNA from 2 species